rnacentral:lncRNA from 1 species
AUUCCCAAACCACAUCCAAACUUAUUUAAGUUUUUUUUUUUUUUUUUAACGGCAGUCCACACCAACACGCAACGGAGCUCUGACUCUGACAACACAACACUUGAUACUAUUAGCAGCAAGCAGCGGCAACUAACUGCGUUCUCCUCUCUCACGUUUCCUUCCUUCCUUCCUUCCUUCAAGGUACACUUACUUCUUCACCUUUUCUAGUUCUCCUUAGGAAUAAAUAAUUGUUUAGGACUUUAUUAUUUUAUAUUCAAUUGAAUUGAUUUGAUUUUUGUUUUACUUUUUGCUGUAAAGAACUGAUAUUACUGCUUGCUAUGCUGCUAUGUUCACUGUUUUGGAAAUUGUCAACACUUUGAACAUCGAGACAUCUUUUGUAUGUUGUUGGGUGUAAGAAUACUGACCUUUGUACGUUUUGUAUUUCUGGGAUUGUUAUUUGCUUUCGUCUGCUACCAGAUGGCAGCGUCGUCGGCAUGCCUUGUAGGAAAUGGUUUAUCGACCAGUAAUGCCAAACGGAAUUUGACGAAGGAGUUCUGUGGCAGUCAUCUUUUUGUUUCUACCAGUGUUCCGUUAUGUAAGACUUCAAGAAUUUUAACUGU